AACGAACGCUGGCGGCAUGCCUAACACAUGCAAGUCGAACGAGACCUUCGGGUCUAGUGGCGCACGGGUGCGUAACGCGUGGGAACCUGCCCUUAGGUUCGGAAUAACUCCCCGACAGGGGUGCUAAUACCGGAUAAUGUCUUCGGACCAAUGAUUUAUCGCCUUUGGUUGUGCCCGCGUUGGAUUAGCUAGUUGUUAGGCUAAAAGCCUACCAAGGCGACGAUCCAUAGCUGGUCUGAGAGGAGGAUCAGCCACACUGGGACUGGGACACGGCCCAGACUCCUACGGGAGGCAGCAGUGGGGAAUAUUGGACAGUGGGCGAAAGCCUGAUCCAGCAAUGCCGCGUGAGUGAUGAAGGCCUUAGGGUUGUAAAGCUCUUUUACCCGGGAUGAUAAUGACAGUACCGGGAGAAUAAGCUCCGGCUAACUCCGUG
rnacentral:rRNA from 1 species